rnacentral:rRNA from 1 species
UACGGAGGGUGCAAGCGUUGUCCGGAAUCACUGGGCGUAAAGGGCGCGUAGGCGGCUCAUGAAGGCUGUGGUGAAAGCCCGGGGCUCAACCUCGGAUCGGCCGUGGCGACUGGUGGGCUGGAGCACGGUAGGGGCGGGUGGAAUUCCGGGUGUAGCGGUGGAAUGCGUAGAGAUCCGGAGGAACACCAGUGGCGAAGGCGGCCCGCUGGGCAGUGGCUGACGCUGAGGCGCGAAAGCCAGGGGAGCAAACGGG